UAUCACGUCCUUGAAACAGUUCAAUUCAACACUCGUCUAGCUGAAGUUAUAUCAACCUGAUCUGCUAUACAGGGAAAUGAUGGGUUUUCUCUGCGUUCUCCUCUCUCUGACUGCUUUACAAGUGGAGGGUUUCAGUGGGGGAGGAUCUUCCAUUGCUUCUCAGUGUGGCUCAAUGCUACCUGGUAAUAGUUUUCAUGGCAGCCCAGGGCAGAGCUCUUCCUCACCAUACACUGUCACUGUCAACCAGACCACCUACCAGCCAGGAGACACCAUCCGAGUGACUCUGUCAGGAACCUUCACCUAUAAAGGGUUUCUUCUGGAGGCCCAUGAGGAAGGACAGAACAAGGCUGUGGGAGCAUUCUCUCUCGGCAGUGGGACUGGGAUCAUUCUUGUGCCUUGCAAUGGGAUCGCAGCCUCUGGGGUGAGUCAAAGCAUCAAUCUACCUAGAUCAUCAGUAACAGUCACCUGGACAGCACCAUCCACAUCCUCAUUGGGCAACAUCAUA